rnacentral:lncRNA from 1 species
GCUCUUUUCUCCUUGGCCAGUGGGAAGCAAACUCAGGAGCUCUGGCCUUAGGAGAUGGGAGGAAGACUAAAGCAGCAGUUCUCAAAGUGUGAUCCGGGAGACCCUGCAGAUCCCAAGAUCCUUUCUAGAGUUUCGGUGGGAGAACUAGUUUUAGAAUUAUAGACGUCAUUUGCCUUUUAAACUCACAAUGGAAUUUUCCAGAGGCGACCUGAUGUCUAAUGAUGACACUGCUCUUAUGACCAAAGGAAUGUGAGCUCGUAUAUUCUUUUAGAAUUUCCUAAGGGAUGGGAUCUUGCUAAGUUGCCUAGGCUAGCCUCGAACUCCUGGCUUCAAGCACUCCU